AUGCACGUAUCUCAUCACCGAUUUUCGUUUGUAUAAUUUUUUCACCGUUUAUAUCUUUACAAAGGCAGAAAUAGAUCAUAGAAUUCCUGUAGAUCAGAAAGUGCGCAAACCGUCAUUUAUAUAGUUCUUUCUCUUGGUGGAAUUGUACAAGUGGUAGGGAACCUACUGAAGGUAGAUAAGAUGCGCGUAUAGUAGUACGUUCUAUUAUGAAACGAAUAAUAUAUAUUUGAAUAUUCUAAACCAAGCUAUAAAUUUAUUGGAAGUAUUUAACAAUAUCAGUUCUGCAAUUUAGAAUCAUGAUACAUUAAUAUGUGGCGGGUAGAUUUCAAGUUAUUUCCACCAAAAGAUUCCAUGAGUUACCAGUUACCACAUCCCUACAAUUUCUUAGUGUCUAUAUACUUUGGCUAGUACAAAAUGGUUGACGUGCCUUGAUUGUAUGAUACAGAUUGGUAGAUACAACAUUUUGUUUUCCCAUGAAGGAGAUAGAUAUAGUAAACCGCGUGUAAUAUUAAUGGAUAUAUAAAAAUUAUCACGUUUCGGUUUCCGUUCUUGGAAAAAUAAGUAUUCAUCCAACGUCGGAAAUAAAGAAGAUGGAGAAAAGGCAGGAAAUAUUGGCUCCGUUUUCUUCUGAUGAGUGUCCAAAUAGUGGAGAAGAUAGCGAGGAAGAUGUAAUAACUGAUUACCUAGGAUCAUCGCAUUCUGACUGCGAUCGUAUAGCUAUCAUUAAUGGGGAUCUUGCUAGUUUGAAUCUACGAGGGAAUAUAAUUACCGAAACCACCUACACCAAAGACAAUACAGAAAAAACGGCUAUUGCGAUGUCUGAAGGAACUGAUGAGCAACAGCAGCAGCACCCACUGCUUGCACUUGGCGCUAACAGUCAAACUCAGCCUAAUCCUUUGGUGCCAACUAUUAGUGUCACACCUCAUUCACCUGGUCUUGCUAAGAACUACCCUGUUCUGGAGGACAACUUGCAACAUCUGCAUGAAAUCCAUGAUUGCAUUCAGCGUAUGAGAGAUCUGACGCUGAGCAACUGGGGAUAUAAUCACCGCACAUCCCAAAAUGAUGUACCUCAGCGAUUAACUUCAUCGUGUCCUUCCUUGUGUCCUUUAAUUUUACCUGAAAUUGCACCACGUUCGAGUAAUAAUGAUACAGGAUCUGAUCCAGAUCUCCUUGCUAAUUGUUCCACCAACAGUUCUCCUACACAUUUUCCAUCAGUAGGUCCUCGUUCACAGAAUGCACAAGGUAUAGACAGAAGACGCAGCUGGACUGACCUGGAAGAUACUCGAUGUGGGCGUCGCAGAUAUUCUGGGCAAAAUCACCUGCAAGCACAAAACAUGCGACAGCGCAGUAUUAGUUUAAGUAGCCUAGACAGUGAAAUGGAAAUAGAAUUACAUGGAAAACCUUGUACCAGACCUGCUGGAGUUGGUAGUCGUGCAUGCAGAUCGCAAGCAAGUACUCAUUCUCUUAAUGAAGCUGAUCUUGUACAGAGUGAAUAUCAGAAGAUAGUCGCAAAACGAUUCAAAGGUAGUCAAAGAUUAGCAGAAAGUAGUGGUUUAAUGCCUGGACUCACAGGCUCUCGUUUACCUCUUCAAAAGUCUAUUUCAACGCCUUCAAUUGUUACACCCCAAGUCAAUGUUCACUUAGCAGAGUCUGUAACUAGGACAACACCAUCACUUACAGCCCGACGUGAAAGAAAUGAAAAGGGUAGCGGAAGUGAAACUGAAACGGAGGAUCUUCAUACACCACACAGCCAUGAAUUCCAUGAAGAUAGGGAGGGCACCCCAAAUGCUCAGAUAUCUCUUGAUGAAUUACUUACAGAUGGAGCUGCAUAUGACGAUCAUCAUUCAGAGAAAACUAGAAGAAAACGAGGUUCUAUUUUCUUUCGUAAGAAAAAGGACAAGAGUGGUAAAAAAACUAGUCAGCAACAGCAUUUAUGGACGACAAUAAUGGCAGGAUCUCAGGGAAGUUUAUUAUGUGAUGUUUGUAUGAAACAAUCAACAAAUAAACCACUUUUACAUUGCGAUAACUGUGGAGUAUCCGUGCACCAAAGUCAAGGGUGUAAAGAUCAACUAGUGCUAGAAUGUAUUAAAUCAAAACACCAUUCUAGCAAAGCGGCCAUCAAAUCUACAUCAAGUAUAUCCUCAACUUCGAGUAGCUAUAAUGUUAAGAGAGGAUCUACCGCAUCAUUGCCUCUACCAACAUCUGGAAGUGGAAGUCAAACAAUAAAUGAAGAGAAAGAUGGAGAUGGGCAGCAUCGUGAUAUAUCCAGUGGUUUGGAUGGGUACGACUUCUUGGACGAUGCUUAUCAGUUUACUGUUGGUGAUCUGGAAGGUCUGGAUCCUGAGUUGGGUUUAGCUAAAGAAGAACCUGAUUCUUGGAGUGCCGCUAUUGGACACAGUGUUGCGUUACGAUUGGUUGAUAAUUGCGAACGAAAAGUAAAAAGACAAGAACACAUUUAUGAAUUUGUUCUUACGGAAAAACAUCAUUGUCUAGUGCUUCUAGCGAUGGAAAGAAUUUUUGCUGAAGGUCUUCGACGACACUUUCGCUUGGGUCAGCCAGAUUUAGAACGCAUGUUUCCCAGAUUACGUGAUCUCAUCGACAUCCAUUUACGAUUUUUGCAAAAAUUACGCAAGCGACAAAAUGCAAACUCUGUUGUUCCUACGAUUGCUGAUAUACUUGUUGAUCAGUUCUCUGGAGAGAAUGCACAACGUAUGAAGAGUGCCUAUGGAGAAUUCUGUAGUCGCCACAGAGAUGCUGUCGAAGCUUACAAGUAUUAUCUUCGUCACGAUCCUCGAUUUGCACGGUUCGUGCGUCAAUGCCAGUCACACCCUUUGCUGAAAAAGAAGGGAAUUCCUGAAUGUAUUCUAUUUGUUACUCAACGUUUAACGAAAUAUCCGUUACUGGUGGAACCACUAAUAAAAACGGGUAUUGUACAAGAAGAAGGAGAAGACUUACGCAAAGCUUUGAUUCUCGUUAAAGAGAUUUUAGCUGACGUGGAUGCAUGCGUAGCUGAUAAAGAAAGGGAAGAUAGGAAAUUAGAAAUCUAUAAUAAGAUCGACGCUAAAUCUUUUGCAACGUAUCGUGGUGUCAAGUUCAAAAAGUCAGAUAUCAUGGCAUUUAAUCGAAUCUUAAAAUUCGAAGGUACCGCGUAUUUAAUGCAAGGUCGUGGAAAAAUGACUGCCAUCGUAGUGGUUGUUCUUUCUGAUAUAUUAUUUUUCUUGGCUGAAAGAGAUCAAAAAUAUGCAUUCUUUGUGCCUGACAAUAAGGCUGGUAUAGUGUCACUUCAAAAAUUACUGGUACGCGAAAAAGCGGGCCAGGAAUCGAGGGGAAUCUAUUUAAUAAGUAGCAAUCCAGCUGAACCUGAAAUGUUUGAGUUAAAAAUUCAGAAGCCCAAGGAUAAACAAUUAUGGAUACAAGCAAUUAGAUCUGCCGUUGAAGCCUGUCCGCAAGAACCUGAAAACGAAGCUGAUACGUUAACAGAAAACAACAGUAGUAACGAAUUGAGAGAUACGCGUUCAUCUUCUUUAUCGUUACUUUCUGUCGAAGAAAGGCAACGUUUAGUUAAGACUAAAGAAUCUCACGUUCUAAAGAUAGUUGGUGAAUUGCGUAAAAAAGAUGAAGAACAAGCACUAUUACUGGAGGAAAAAAUCAAUUUACAAAUGCAACUUUUACACGUUGCGAAUAUUUGGAGUGGAAAUGAAAGUAGCGAUAAUGAAAGAAUAGAAAAGGUUGAUAAAGAAAUUCCAGAUUAUAACAGACUAGUUCAUAAUGAAGGAACUGAUACCACACAGUUACGGCAGGAGGUGGUUGCUGCUGUUCAAGAAGCAACAAAACUGGCUAGCUCAUUAUCCUUUACUGCGGGUGGUGCUACUCUUUCAAGAAGUUUAAGUUCUGCGGGAGAACGACAUAGUGAGGCUUAUGUUCCGCCUGCUCUUUGUGUUCCUCGAAGAGCUGAAACAUUCGCGGGUUUUGAUCACAAUAAAGAAAAAUAUCCAUUGAGAGAGUCAUCCGCUAUUCAUUCUUUGGUAUCUCUUCCAAAAGUAGGUGAAUUUCUGAAAGAAAGUUCGGACGAAAAAGACAACCCAGACUCAGAUGUAAAUAAAGAUCAACAAUGGGCAGCAAUUCGUUUGUCUCAUCAUGUUUAUACGUUGGCUUGUAUAAUUAGUAAUCAGAUGACGACGAUCGACAGCUUGCAGGCACAAUUAGCCGCGUGCAAAGAAGGGAGUAUGGGUAAAUCAAAUAAUAGACCUAACCCAAAUCGUCAACUAGAAGAAUUACGCAAUUUACAAGAUCAGUUGAGUCGAGAGAAAGCAGCUUUUCGAGCUGAGUCUCAACAAGAGCAAAAACAAUUGGAAGAAGAGCGAGCCGAGUUAGCAAGACAACGGGAACAACUGGCAGCAGAACAGAGAGACGUGACACAGCAACGAGAUCAAUUAUACCGACGACUGGAAGCGUUGGAACGGCAAGGAGUGACACUGGUUACAGGUACCGCACCUAGCUCAGCGUCUAUUCAUUUGUCUCACAUGACACAGGGAAAUGAUACGGUUCAGUCAAGGAAAUCACAACCAGAUGCUAAGCGGAUACCAUUAAAUUUAAUUAGCGCUACUAACCAGCAGAAAGUGCAAAGUAAUCUUCCAGUAAAACAACAGUUGCCUUUAAAACUUGCCAGUGGAAGCAACAAUAAUACUAGUAGGAGUGGAAGUACAAGCAACAAUAGUCCAGAUCGACAUUCGCGGACAGGAAGUAGUCCAGCAAUUGUAACUGGCUCUACGUAUUCCUCGCCGGAAUUAGGCAAUAAUCACGCUGGUGUGAGUCAAACUCAUUCUUCCAAUCGUUCGCUUCGAAUCACACGGUCACCUCCAGAGUAUUCGCAUCAACAGCAACACCAACGAACUGAACAGCAACAGCCUUUGGAAGAGGAAGUAAUUUUUUUCUGACGACUCUUUCGUUUUGGUCGAAAGCAUUCUCGAUCUUCUCGUCCUGCGACUGGCGAGGCAACCCCGACUUCUACGCUAACUCCCUCCCGAAAUCAAUCAAAAGAUGCUCAACCUAGAAGUCGUGUAAAGUCAUUUUGACUUUCAACAUUUUCUCGCGUACAAGACAAAUGAACUCUUCUUCGCUCACUUUUUAUCACAUUUGCGAGAGGGAGAUAACUCUUUUCCUGCUUGAAGAAUAAUCCAGUUAACAGGUUAAGCCGACUGACAGUUUUAGAGACAUGAUUUUAGACGAAUCUUUUAAGCAAAUCUGUUACUGCUUGCUGAAAAAAAGGCAAGGUAGAGAAUUACAUUAUAUUAGCAUUGCAUAUACAUGGAUGUGUAUAUAUAUAUACUUUUUUCAUGACAUAUGUAUGACCUUACUUGUACGUAUGCUGAAAAACGCGCGGAAGUAUAUAUGCGUGCGUGUGAAUGCGAUUUAAUGAAUGUACGUAUACGUGUACGUGUACAGUUUCGUUUUAUUAAAAAAAUAAAAUGUACGCGUAUGCUCCUGUAGAUGUGUAUGCAUGUACGUGUUACGAAUACGUGAAUGAGCGCGUUAUUCUUAUACCAUUUACUCUAAAAGUAUUUUAAUACGUGCUAAAACGACGGAUAAGAUUUAUUAUUAACAAUAAUGAAUUAUUGUUAUCGUGUGCCAAGUCACAGAUCGAUUAUGAUUUUCCGCUAUCAUUAUAUCAUUCCUCUUGAUGGAAGUAAUCGUUUUAAUUUGAUCAAACGAACAGCGAUCCAAAUAAUGUUUUAUAUUUGAUAUUUUGCUUCGAGAUUAUUCACUGCCAUUGUCGUUACUAUUAUGUAAUCAUUUUUCUUCCUUUUUUUAAUUAUCUACAAAUUAUUUUAUUUAUUGCAUCGCGUAAGAUCAUUAAUAAUU